rnacentral:rRNA from 1 species
AUUGAACGCUGGCGGAAUGCUUUACACAUGCAAGUCGAACGGCAGCACGGGGCAACCUGGUGGCGAGUGGCGAACGGGUGAGUAAUACAUCGGAACGUGCCCAAUCGUGGGGGAUAACGUAGCGAAAGUUACGCUAAUACCGCAUACGAUCUACGGAUGAAAGCGGGGGAUCGCAAGACCUCGCGCGAAUGGAGCGGCCGAUGUCAGAUUAGGUAGUUGGUGGGGUAAAGGCUCACCAAGCCGACGAUCUGUAGCUGGUCUGAGAGGACGACCAGCCACACUGGGACUGAGACACGGCCCAGACUCCUACGGGAGGCAGCAGUGGGGAAUUUUGGACAAUGGGCGCAAGCCUGAUCCAGCCAUUCCGCGUGCAGGAUGAAGGCCUUCGGUUGUAACUGCUUUGUACGGAACGAACGGUUCUCUCUAAUACAGGGGGCUAAUGACGGUACCGUAAGAAUAAG